CGCUGGCAAGGUGGACUCGGUGUCCGCCGGCUCGUGCUGAAGAGCACCCGGAAGUGGUCGCUGAGGACCGCCAGCUCGAAGGCUCUGGGCCGCUGGCAAGGUGGACUCGGUGUCCGCCGGCUCGUGCUGAAGAGCACCCGGAAGUGGUCGCUGAGGACCGCCAGCUCGAAGGCUCUGGGCCGCUGGCAAGGUGGACUCGGUGUCCGCCGGCUCGUGCUGAAGAGCACCCGGAAGUGGUCGCUGAGGACCGCCAGCUCGAAGGCUCUGGGCCGCUGGCAAGGUGGACUCGGUGUCCGCCGGCUCGUGCUGAAGAGCACCCGGAAGUGGUCGCUGAGGACCGCCAGCUCGAAGGCUCUGGGCCGCUGGCAAGGUGGACUCGGUGUCCGCCGGCUCGUGCUGAAGAGCACCCGGAAGUGGUCGCUGAGGACCGCCAGCUCGAAGGCUCUGGGCCGCUGGCAAGGUG